CAGGACAGAGCUGUGCCGUUUCAGUGGCGCUAAGAUCUACCCCGGGAAGGGUAUCAGAUUUAUCCGUGCAGAUUCACAGGUGUUCCUCUUCUCGAAUUCGAAGUGCAAGCGCUACUUCCACACCCGUCUGAAGCCAGCCAAGCUCACAUGGACAGCCAUGCAUAGGAAGCAGCACAAGAAGGCAAGGGAGCUGGCCGAUCGGUGAUAUUUUGUUGACAUUCAUGCUGAAGCUGUUAAGAAGAGACGCCGCACCACCAAGAAGCCAUACUCCAGGUCCAUUGUUGGCGCCACCCUUGAAGUCAUCCAGAAGAAAAUAACUGAGGAGCCAGAGGUUCGCGAUGCAGCUAGGGAAGCUGCCCUUCGAUGGAAAGAUCAUGGGUGUACGAUGCGCCAAGACGUGGAGAAAUAUACAUCAAAGGACACUCUGCUUUUUAUUGAAGCUACCGAGAAGGACGCUUUGACUAAGAAGACAAAGGAAAUAUACUAUCCAUGUUCUGACUGCAAGAACUAGAAAUUGUGGGACAAAUCAAGCAUAAUCAAAUCACACUUGAUCUUGUGAGGUUUUGUCGAGGAUUACACAUGUUGGUCCAAUCACGGCGAACAACGUACAUGCGAACCAAACGACGACAUCGCUGCUGAUCAAGUGGAUGGUGAUGAUGAGUGAGUCGAAGGCAACACUGAUGUUAUGAUGGAUGAUGAUAUCGAUUUUGAUCUGGAGGAAAUAUU